AUGUCACUCUGGAAAGAUGGAUGGCCGCCGUUACCGGAAACAAGGAUAACCCACGCGGAGCUAGAAGGAUUCCUCCACUCGACCACAACAGUGAUCCAAACAAGGUAUGCCUGCUCUACUCUCCACUGUGUUCUUGCCAUAUUCAUUUCUGUUUAUUCUGCCAAUUGGUCGAUUGAUCCUUGUCUUGGUGUCUAUCAGGCCCUCACCGAGCUGUACUCGAUGCCCAAUGGAGCACAGGCUCCGACUGAGGAGGAUGAGGCGAGUGGGGGCGAGAGCCAGGAGGAGGAGGAAUGGGACUCGGACGUUGCUGAAGAUGAUGAUGACGAUGACGACGAUGACGAUGAUGAAGAUGAUGCUGAAGACGAGGAAGAAGAGGAGGAGGAGGUCGUACCACCGCGCUCAGAAAGGCGGUCGAAGCUUGUCCACGACCCUUCGACUGAACGUGGCAAGGGGGUUGCGACCGUUGCAUAG
rnacentral:rRNA from 1 species